CAAAUCGCUGCCUACCAUGCAGUCGAGGGGUAACAUAGAAAAGCUUGCUUUUCUGAUGACGACCGGCGCACGGGUGCGUAACGCGUAUACAACCUACCUUUUAGCGGGGAAUAGCCCAGGGAAACUUGGAUUAAUGCCCCAUAGUAUAUGGACUUCUCCUGAAGUUUAUAUUAAACAUUUAUGGCUAUUAGAUGGGUAUGCGUCCUAUUAGUUAGUUGGUAAGGUAACGGCUUACCAAGGCAGCGAUAGGUAGGGGUCCUGAGAGGGAGAUCCCCCACACUGGUACUGAGACACGGACCAGACUCCUACGGGAGGCAGCAGUGAGGAAUAUUGGACAAUGGGCGAGAGCCUGAUCCAGCCAUGCCGCGUGCAGGAAGACUGCCCUAUGGGUUGUAAACUGCUUUUACAGAGGAAGAACCACCCCCACGUGUGGGGGUUUGACGGUACUCUGCGAAUAAGGAUCGGCUAACUCCGUGCCAGCAGCCGCGGUAAUACGGAGGAUCCAAGCGUUAUCCGGAAUCAUUGGGUUUAAAGGGUCCGUAGGCGGGCAGUUAAGUCAGUGGUGAAAGUCUUCCGCUCAACGGGAGAACUGCCAUUGAUACUGAUUGUCUUGAGUUAUUAUGAAGUGGUUAGAAUGAGUAGUGUAGCGGUGAAAUGCAUAGAUAUUACUCAGAAUACCGAUUGCGAAGGCAGAUCACUAAUAAUAUACUGACGCUGAUGGACGAAAGCGUAGGUAGCGAACAGGAUUAGAUACCCUGGUAGUCUACGCCGUAAACGAUGGUUACUAGCUGUUCGGCCCAAUUGAGGGCUGAGUGGUUAAGCGAAAGUGAUAAGUAACCCACCUGGGGAGUACGUUCGCAAGAAUGAAACUCAAAGGAAUUGACGGGGGCCCGCACAAGCGGUGGAGCAUGUGGUUUAAUUCGAUGAUACGCGAGGAACCUUACCAGGCUUAAAUGUAGUCUGACAGGUCUGGAAACAGACUUUUCUUCGGACAGAUUACAAGGUGCUGCAUGGUUGUCGUCAGCUCGUGCCGUGAGGUGUCAGGUUAAGUCCUAUAACGAGCGCAACCCCUGUGGUUAGUUGCCAGCGAGUAAUGUCG
rnacentral:rRNA from 1 species